rnacentral:rRNA from 1 species
GGUUGAUCCUGCCAGUAGUCAUAUGCUUGUCUCAAAGAUUAAGCCAUGCAUGUCUAAGUAUAAACAACUUUGUACUGUGAAACUGCGAAUGGCUCAUUAAAUCAGUUAUCGUUUAUUUGAUGUUACAUUACUACUUGGAUAACCGUGGUAAUUCUAGAGCUAAUACAUGCGCAAAGUCCCGACUUCUGGAAGGGAUGUAUUUAUUAGAUAAAAAACCAACGCGGGUAACCGCUUCUUUGGUGAUUCAUAAUAACUUUUCGAAUCGCAUGGCCUUGUGCUGGCGAUGCUUCAUU